UACGGAGGGUGCAAGCGUUAAUCGGAAUUACUGGGCGUAAAGCGCACGCAGGUGGCUGAGUCAGUCGAUUGUGAAAGCCCUGGGCUUAACCUGGGAAUUGCAGUCGAUACUACUCGGCUUGAGUAUGGGAGAGGGCAGUGGAAUUCUCGGUGUAGCGGUGAAAUGCGUAGAUAUCGAGAGGAACAUCAGUGGCGAAGGCAGAUCUCUGGGCCGUAACUGACGCUGAGGAGCGAAAGCAUGGGGAGCGAACAGG
rnacentral:rRNA from 1 species